rnacentral:rRNA from 1 species
CCUACGGGAGGCAGCAGUGGGGAAUAUUGCGCAAUGGGCGAAAGCCUGACGCAGCGACGCCGCGUGAGGGAUGAAGGUCUUCGGAUCGUAAACCUCUGUCAGCAGGGAAGAACGGUCACUGUGCUAAUCAGCAGUGAAUUGACGGUACCUGCAAAGGAAGCACCGGCUAACUCCGUGCCAGCAGCCGCGGUAAUACGGAGGGUGCGAGCGUUAAUGGGAAUUACUGGGCGUAAAGCGCUCGUAGGCGGUAUGGCAAGUCAAGGGUGAAAUCCCCGCGCUCAACGUGGGAACUGCCUUUGAAACUGGCAAACUGGAGUGUGUGAGAGGAUAGUGGAAUUCCAGGUGUAGGAGUGAAAGCCGUAGAUAUCUGGAGGAACAUCAGUGGCGAAGGCGACUAUCUGGCACAUAACUGACGCUGAGGAGCGAAAGCGUGGGUAGCAAACAGGAUUAGAUACCCCAGUAGUC